GAUGAAGAACGUAGCGAAAUGCGAUAAGUAAUGCGAAUUGCAGAAUUUCCGUGAGUCAUCGAAUCUUUGAACGCACAUUGCGCCCACUGGUAUUCCGGUGGGCAUGUCUGUUCGAGCGUCAUUAUCCUCCCUCAAACCCCGGGUUUGGUGUUGGACCGAAGUUGUGUGAACAACUGGUCUAAAAAACAAUGACGGCGUCCGUGGGACCCUCGGUGCAACGAGCUUUUAGGAGCACGCGCCGAGUUGCAAGGACCUUCCGGGCCGGUCUCCUUUUACUAUUUUACAAGGUUGACCUCGGAUCAGGUAGGAAUACCCGCUGAACUUAAGCAUAUCAAUAAGCGGAGGA
rnacentral:misc_RNA from 1 species